GCCUAUUAUCUGAGUGACUCUGGGUUUUGGUGUCUGCCUCUGAGAGUGUGUGUGCGUGUCAGAGUGAGUGUGUAUCUUGGAGGAAGAAACAAGAUAGAGUGAGAGAGAAAGGGAGUGAGAAGCUAGCAGCGUUUCUUCUCCCCCCUUUAGCCUCCCCGUCUCCCUGCUCCCUGUCACUCCAUCCUUCCUUCCCUCUCCUGGACCACCCUCCAGCCCUGUUUCGAUCCGGACCGAGACCCCCCAACCAUCCUGGGACCCUUUGACUCUCCUCACUUCUCCGUCCCACCAACCACGACCUCUGAGCAGGGUUUCCUCUCCCGUCCUCUCCUCCCCUGGACUGCUGUCUGCGAUCUCAUCUGCACAUUAUUUAUGGGGUCCACGGGUGAUUUGAUCUAAAUACACUUCUGUUGGCAAGACGCAGCAAAGUGGAUCAGCAAGACAUCCAGUCUCCUCAUUCUGCUGGAAGGCUGCCAGCCAUAGGUCACAUGACAUGGAAGAAAAAACCUAGGAGACUUUUGGGAUCCCUCUUUGCAUGGGCUGCCUAUCUUCCUGAAGGGACGUCCAAAGGCUGGAAGGUGAACUGGUCUGUGUCUGUGUGAGACCACUUUGCUCUGGUGUCCUAUAUGCCCUGGAAACACAAGACCCAGCACAAAUCUGGUGACUGGCUGGCUGCAAUACCACCCUGCACCUUCUCCUUCUGAGGUCACCCCAUUCCAGGACCAGUCUUACCUCCCACAGUAUGGAGCCCAUCAAAGUCCAGCCAGAGGGUGGCCUCAAUGUCACCCUUACCAUUCGCCUCCUCAUGCAUGGAAAGGUAAGCAGGGGGUUGCAGAAUAUUGUACUGA